UUUGAAGGCGUCACAUUCAUGACUUGAUGCGGCUCCAUAAUUAUGACAUCAUUCUAUUUUGUCCACAACAAAAAGUCUCCAAAUAAACAGAAAAUAUAAAAGGAGAGAAAAAAGUGACAGAGUCAGGAGGAAGACGAGCCUCGACUCUUGGAGACGUCAAAUGUGACUUUACAAAUGUUUCAAAGUGUCAGAACAAAAGAAUCCAGUGUGAAAAUGUUCACACUUGAACAGAGUGAAUCCACAUGUGAAAAUCCAACAGACAGUGUGACGUUGCACAGGUCAAAGUGCACAGUUCACAUUUGUGUGUUUCCAGAGUUUGUGUGGAGUCCAGACUGAAGCUCGGCCUCUGAGAUGUGCACAAACACCGGACACUCUCAGCUUCACUCACAACACCAACUCUCAAUGUUUGACACAACAAACUCUUCACACUCCGUCUUGUUGGGAUCAGACUGAAGUCUUCACUUGUGAUGUGGCUGUGACUUGGUUUUCUUGUAUUUUGUGACUCUGUGGUGAACAGUUUGUGUUCUGUUCUUUCUCUUUCAGACCUGAAGGGGGCAGCGACGUCAGAGAUCGAUCAAAAGACCUUUUUAAUAAACUUCAAAAAGCCACGUUUAACACCUGAAGGGGGCAGCGACGUCAGAGAUCGAUCAAAAAGUCUUUUAUAACCUUCAAAAAGCCACGUUUACCAAAACGUGGCCUCAGAUCCAAGAAGGUCCCGUCCAGAGGAAACGCUCCACCUGCAGCAAACGUGACCACGCCCACAUCUGCAUUUACUCCACCCACUCUCUCACUGACCCCGCCCACUCUCUCACUGGCCCCGCCCACUCCUUCAUUGGCCCCGUCUACUCCAUCAUUGACCCCGCCCACUCCCUCAUUGGUCCCGCCCACUCCCUCAUUGGCCCCACCUCCAUCAUUGACCCCGCCCACUCCCUCACUGGCCCGCCCACUCCCUCAUUGGCCCCACCUACUCCAUCAUUGACCCCGCCCACUCCCUCAUUGGCCCCACCUACUCCAUCAUUGCCCCCGCCCACUCCCUCAUUGGCUCCGCCCACUUCCUCAUUGGCUCCACCCUCCGUCACAAUCAGGAGUCAAGUCGAGGUCUUUGAGGAGGACGACCGUCGAGUGAACUGAAGAACCUUGUUAUUCUCUGUGGUCACGGAGAUACAAAGAGGAGUUACUGAGGUCUUUCAUCAUCAGGUAAAGUCUGAACACACACGACACGAUCUGAGUCCAAAUGUUUAACUGGACACAACUGGACUGAACAAAAGCUCUGGUUUAUGGCUCUGAUCCUGAUUCGGAGUAAAACUCUCUUAAAUAAAGUGUUGUGGUGUUGGUGCUGUCAGUGUUAUUCACUUUAACUCCAGCUCUUCAAAGAGCCUCAUUUCCACAUCUCACACAAAAAUCUAAUGAUCCACUUUGUUUAUGUGAGAUUCAGUUUGUCUGAUUAUUCUGAGUCCAGAAACACUCGUGUCCGUCUGAUCUCAUCUUUAUUUAUGACACAAAUCAACUUUUAUCAAAUUUUAGAAUUUAGAUUUUUUCACCAGAGUCACAUGACCUGACUCUAGUGACCUGAGUCUGAAUCUGUCUGUGAGUCACUGUAGGGGGCGCUACAGAGCAGUCAAGGUGUGAGCUCUUCAAAUGUAUUUAUUUUAUGUCUUUAUUUAAGAAAAGGGAACAGUGCAUUUUAAUGAACAUUUAUGCUCUUAGACUGAAGUGACAAUAAAUAAAACAUAAAAACACCAUUUACAGCAGAAGUCUUCAACAGGAGAGUCACAAAAUCUUUGCUUGAUUAUUAUUAUUAUUAUUAUUAUUAUUAUUAUUAUUAUUAUAUAUAUGAUAUAUAUUCUUUUUGAAGGAUGAGGAUGAACUGGUUUUCAGUGUGCGCUGUGGCUCUUCUCUCAUUUAAUCAUAUAAUCAUUUUUAUCAUUUAAAAAAGUCACACUUUGAGUCCAUUUUCCAUGAUGUCGUUGCUCUGUUGCUCUGGUUUUCUCAGCGUCACCGUGAGCACAAAGAGCAGCUUCAACUCCAGGUCUGACUUUUACUUUCACUUAGUUUUGGCUGAGUUUGUUUUAUCUUAUUUCUGUCAUGGAACAAGUCGAGGUUUAAGUUGGACAUGGAGCUGGUUUCAGCUCAGGAUUUCAGGAUAAACCUGGACUUGUUAAGUGACUUUGAUGAAAACCUCCAGUAUUAAAAGUACAAUAACAGAGCAGCUGUUUGUACACGACUCUAAGUCCAGUUUAAUAUAAAACACAGUUGUGUGUCAUAUAAAUACUCGGGGGUCCCUGCUCCAGCUCUCCAUCAGUUUGGGGUCCCUGUCCUGAAAAAGGUUGAAGACCCUGAUUUCCAGAGACAUGUGCAGACAGGGGGCAGCACAGAGCAGUGAUCACAGACUCAUGUCACAGUGUCAUG